rnacentral:ncRNA from 1 species
UGCCUCUAAAUCAGAAUGCCGCCCAGGCAGAACAAUACACCUGUCAAACGGUAACGCAGGUGUCCUAAGGCGAGCUCAGGGAGGACAGAAACCUCCCUUGGAGCAGAAGGGCAAAAGCUCGCUUGAUCUUGAUUUUCAGUGGGAAUACAGACUAUGAAAGCGGGGCCUCAUGAUCCUUCUGACCUUUGGGGUUUUAAGCAGGAGGUGUCAGAAA